AUCGCUUCUCGGCCUUUUGGCUAAGAUCAAGUGUAGAAUUAUGAACCCCCAACUCUUAAGAAGUUUUUUGCUAUCAAAUCCUUAUAUUUGUGUGUUUGCUUUUUAGGUGACAGCACUUCAAGAUGAGAAGAAUUCAC
rnacentral:snRNA from 1 species